AUUGAACGCUGGCGGCAUGCCUUACACAUGCAAGUCGAACGGUAGCACAGAGAGCUUGCUCUCGGGUGACGAGUGGCGGACGGGUGAGUAAUGUCUGGGAAACUGCCCGAUGGAGGGGGAUAACUACUGGAAACGGUAGCUAAUACCGCAUAACGUCGCAAGACCAAAGUGGGGGACCUUCGGGCCUCACACCAUCGGAUGUGCCCAGAUGGGAUUAGCUAGUAGGUGGGGUAAUGGCUCACCUAGGCGACGAUCCCUAGCUGGUCUGAGAGGAUGACCAGCCACACCGGAACUGAGACACGGUCCAGACUCCUACGGGAGGCAGCAGUGGGGAAUAUUGCACAAUGGGCGCAAGCCUGAUGCAGCCAUGCCGCGUGUAUGAAGAAGGCCUUCGGGUUGUAAAGUACUUUCAGCGGGGAGGAAGGCGGUGAAGUUAAUAGCUUCACCGAUUGACGUUACCCGCAGAAGUAGCACCGGCUAACUCCGUGCCAGCCGCCGCGGUAA
rnacentral:rRNA from 1 species